UUCUAUAAAAAAUAAGUGUGACACUGAAAGACCCCCAGAUGGGGAAACCCUCACUCAAGUCUUGGGAUAAGCCGACGCCCCAAUAAUUCAAGAGAGACC
rnacentral:pre_miRNA from 11 species